UACAAUGGAGAGUUUGAUCCUGGCUCAGGAUGAACGCUAGCGGGAGGCCUAACACAUGCAAGCCGAGGGGUAUUUUGGAGCUUGCUUCAAGAGAGACCGGCGUACGGGUGCGUAACGCGUAUGUAACUUACCUAUAUCACGGGGAUAGCCCGGGGAAACUCGGAUUAAUACCGGAUAACAUAUAAUGUAGCCUUACAUUGUAUUAAAAGGAUUUAUCGGAUAUAGAUAGGCAUGCGUAGGAUUAGUUAGUUGGUAAGGUAACGGCUUACCAAGGCAAUGAUCCUUAGGGGGCCUGAGAGGGUGAACCCCCACACUGGAACUGAGACACGGACCAGACUCCUACGGGAGGCAGCAGUGAGGAAUAUUGGACAAUGGGUGAGAGCCUGAUCCAGCCAUCCCGCGUGAAGGACGACAGCCCUAUGGGUUUUAAACUUCUUUUGUAUGGGAAUAAACCACAUUACGUGUAAUGUGCUGAAUGUACCAUACGAAUAAGCAUCGGCUAACUCCGUGCCAGCAGCCGCGGUAAUACGGAGGAUGCGAGCGUUAUC
rnacentral:rRNA from 1 species